GAAGUUCCUGACUCAAUAGACUUCACAGCUACUGGGUGUCUCGUCCAUCACCACAUUGAAGAUGGUUGGUCAGCCACAGAGACAAAGGGCAGGGAGAUCCAGAGCCUUCAAUAAAUCCUGCAGUGAGGUAAUCAGGAUGUUCCUAACUUCUGUCUCAUCCAUCACCUCAUUGAAGCUGGUUGGUCAGCCUGAGAGAGAUGGAGAGGGAGAUCUGGAGCCUUCAGUAAGUCCUGCAGCCGGAAAGUGCUGACUCAAUAGAUUUCCCAAUUGCUGUGUGUCUCGUCCAACACCUCUUUGAAGAUGAUUGGUCAGCCAGAGAGACAAAGGAUGGGAGAUGUGGAGCCUUCAAUAAAUCCUGCAGUGAGGUACUCCCAGCUGCUGUGUGUCUCGUCCAUCACAACAUUGAAGACGGUUGGUCAGCCAGAGAGACAAAGGACAGGGAGAUCUAAAGCCUUCAAUAAA